rnacentral:rRNA from 1 species
AAUACCGCAUGCGGUCAUCGGGUUUAGAAGCCGAUGACCAAAGCAGCAAUGCGCUUUGGGAGGGACCUGCGUCCCAUCAGCUAGUUGGUAGGGUAACGGCCUACCAAGGCUACGACGGGUAGGGGACCUGAGAGGGUGACCCCCCACAAUGGAACUGAAACACGGUCCAUACACCUACGGGUGGCAGCAGUAGGGAAUAUUGCACAAUGGGCGAAAGCCUGAUGCAGCAACGCCGCGUGCACGAUGAAGGUCCUCGGAUCGUAAAGUGCUUUUCUGGGAGAUGAGAAAGGACAGUAUCCCAGGAAUAAGUCUCGGCUAACUACGUGCCAGCAGCCGCGGUAAAACGUAGGAGGCAAGCGUUAUCCGGAUUCACUGGGCGUAAAGCGCGUGCAGGCGGUUCGGUAAGUUGGGCGUGAAAUCU